UACCAGCUCUCCGAGUGGUGUGGAUGUUUAUUGGGCCUAAAGCAUCCGUAGCUGGCUGGGCAAGUCCCCUGUUAAAUCCACCGAUUUAAUCGUUGGAGUGCGGGGGAUACUGUUCGGCUAGGGGACGGGAGAGGCAGACGGUAUUUUCGGGGUAGGGGUGAAAUCCUAUAAUCCCGGGAAGACCACCAGUGGCGAAGGCUGUCUGCUAGAACGCGCCCGACGGUGAGGGACGAAAGCUGGGGGAGCGAACCGGAUUUAGAUACCCGGGUAGUCCCAGCUGUAAACGAUGCAGGCUAGGUGUUUGGGCGGCCACGUGCCGCUCUAGUGCCGCAGGGAAGACCGUUAAGCCUGCCGCCUGGGGAGUACGGCCGCAAGGCUGAAACUUAAAGGAAUUGGCGGGGGAGCACCACAAGGGCGUGAAGCUUGCGGUUC
rnacentral:rRNA from 1 species